rnacentral:rRNA from 1 species
AAUAUUGGACAAUGGGGGCAUCCCUGAUCCAGCCAUGCCGCGUGUGUGAAGAAGGUCUUCGGAUUGUAAAGCACUUUAAGUUGGGAGGAAGGGCUUUAGGUUAAUACCCUGAAGAUUUGACGUGACCAACAGAACAAGCACCGGCUAAACCGGUCCCAACAGCCGCGGUAAUGCAGAGGGUGCAAGCGUUAAUCGGAAUUACUGGGCGUAAAGCGCGCGUAGGUGGUUCAGUAAGAUGGGUGUGAAAUCCCCGGGCUUAACCUGGGAACUGCUUUCAUAACUGCUGAGCUAGAGUACGGUAGAGGGUAGUGGAAUUUCCUGUGUAGCGGUGAAAUGCGUAGAUAUAGGAAGGAACACCAGUGGCGAAGGCGACUACCUGGACUGAUACUGACACUGAGGUGCGAAAGCGUGGGGAGCAAACA